rnacentral:snoRNA from 10 species
GGGUCGAUGAUGAGAAGCUUCUGUUUUCUUGAAGAGAGGUGAUGACUUAAAAAUCAUGCUCAAUAGGAUUAUGCUGAGGCCC